rfam:Acidocella sp. MX-AZ02 genomic scaffold Contig3, whole genome shotgun sequence.
GGGGAUGUAGCUCAAUUGGUAGAGCACCUGCUUUGCAAGCAGGGGGUCGUCGGUUCGAUUCCGUCCAUCUCCA